rnacentral:misc_RNA from 1 species
UUUGCGCCCCGGCUUGAACGGAGCUCUUUUUGUGAAGCGAAGCGGAACAAAAAAGCGGGAGUGGAAGACGGAUAAAGGC